CCUACGGGGGGCUGCAGCUAAGAAUAUUCCGCAAUGGACGAAAGUCUGACGGAGCGACGCCGCGUGGAUGACGAAGGCCGAAAGGUUGUAAAAUCCUUUUGUUGGGGAAGAAUAAGGUCGGGAGGGAAUGCCCGGCUGAUGACAUGAACCGACGAAUAAGCCCCGGCUAACUACGUGCCAGCAGCCGCGGUAACACGUAGGGGGCGAGCGUUGUUCGGAAUUACUGGGCGUAAAGGGCAUGUAGGCGGCCUGAUAAGCCUGGCGUGAAAGUCACC
rnacentral:rRNA from 1 species